rnacentral:rRNA from 1 species
GCUUUAUACUGGGUAUUUAUUUCUCAUUUAGAAUGUAGUUUGGGAAUAGUUAGUACAGUAUUUGGUUGGGGUGACAGGAAGAUAUGGUAAACUCUUUUUAAAAAAUGUGAACAUUGAUUUAUGAAUAGUUGAUCCAUUAUUAGUGAUUAUAAGACUAAGU